GGGACAAGGAAGGUUCUCCACUGCUCUGCUAUGAUGGCUUCACCUAUAAGACACAGACAUGGCAGCCAAUGACUCUCACCCUCUAGUGAUAACACCCACGGCUGGUAAUUAGCUGUCAUCGGGAUUCCAAGAUCAGCGAGGCCAGGUUUCUCUUGCUUCCUUUCAGUCUAUGGACAGUUGCUAAAGUAAUUUCCCUCAAACACAGAUCUCAUCAUCACUCCUCUGCACCAGGUCACAGUAAUUAUAGUCACUACCACAACCAAAACCAAUCCCGCCACCUACUGUCCCCAUCUCAUUCUCCUCCUCGCUCCCCUCCACCCUCUGUGGUGCAGCCCCGUGCCGGAGAUACCUGUGUCUUGACAUCCGGCUGCCUCCCUCCAGCCUCCAGCCCUGCCCACUAGCCUCUGUCCUUUCUUGGGUCGAGAAGUCAACUGAAUUCAUAUGCUUUAAACAGCGCCAUCAAGAGACCCUUCUCACUGAGUUGCUCAAUAAUGUCCACUGUGUCUGACCCCAAGCAGGAAGUUAGAACAGCAGCAGGAACUUGGCCCCAGCUUCUUCUUCCAUGAAGCCAACAUUUGCAUAUCAUGUGGGCUUGCACGUUCUCCACGGUGCCUCUAAAAGUGACCUCGGCUAUUUCUUGCCUCUUUUAACUCUCCCCAGAUAAGGACCCCCAAAUCUCCCCUAUUUUUCUCUAUUUCUCUCUCCAUGCUUUAUUAACAGAAUAACCACAGUAAGAAAGCAUUAGACAUUUGCUAGUGGGAAAUGGGUGUUUUAUCUUCCGGGGAAGUGAAGAUUGUCUCUGAACAAUGAAAAUAAGCAAAAAGAACUGCCUCCCUCCGUCUUUUUGGAUAUAACAGUAAUGUGUUUUAUGGACUGCAAUAUAUAAAUUAAGUUCAAAUUAAAUAUCAAAUAAAGGAUUUUUAAAAUUUUUACUCCUAGGGGCUGGGGAUGUUGCUCAGUUGGUAAAUGCUUGCCUAGCACACAUGAAAGCCUAACACUGUAUAAACUGGGCAUUCUGUUAUCCCAGCACUUGCGGGGAAGAGCUCCGGGGAUCAGGAGUUUAAAGUCACCCUCAGCUGCCUAGAGAGUUUGAGGCCAGCCUGGACUCCAUGAGAUCCUGUCUUGAAAACCAAAACAAAAAGUUAUUUCUGUACAAAAGAUAGCACACAUAUACACACAAACACACAGAGCUGAGACAUACAACAAGGUGCCCGCUGGUGAGUAGGAAAUGCUCUCAAAACCAGGAGACCUUGAGCUAGUAGCCCUGCUCUUCAGUACGAGUCAUAAGGCUAGUCCACUCAAACUUUUCAUAGUUUUUCAGUCAGUAUUUGAGAUUCACAUUGGUCAAACCUUAGAGGAUAUGAAAAUAGCCAUUAAGUCCCAUGUUUAUGAUGUCAUCAUAUCAAAUGGGAGAAAUGGAGGGACCUGGGUAUAUUUUUGGUUUGGCAAACUCUAGAACUAUUUUGAAAAAACGUCUGGGGUUUGGCUAAAACCAAGCCUUAUUUUGCCAAGCACUUUGGCUUUACUUUUUAAACCCAUGUGUAUUUUAAAAGAAACUCUAUCUAUAUGUUUCUGACUCAUUUACACUUAGCUCAUGAAAACCCUGUUUGGUAAGCGCUAAUAGAUGUCCCGGCAGGUUUAUGAGCCUUCUUAAGCCUUCUUUUCCCUCCGUCCUUACCAGAAGGUUGUAUUUUGCUAGCCAUAAACGAGUGUGAGCCCCAGAGGCAUGUGAUCAGUCUGCGAUUUAUGACCUCUGAAGCUUAAGUGGAUUGUGAGUUUGGAAGGCACUCUCCCCUUCCUCUUUUUCUAACUGCCCAAACAGGCUCCUGCUAACAAAGGCUGCUAAGUCUCACCUUCCAGAGGAAAGAAUCCAUUCUCUCCACCAACAAGUUGCCCCUGAAACGUUUUGGAGGAAGAUUCUGUUGCUUCAAGCUCAGCUGGAUACAGAGCGAGACCUGACCCUCUGAGGGGACCUUCACCAACCCCGCUCAGGAGAAGUGAACUCAACUUGGUUCAAGUUAGAAGAGUUUACCUUUUGAGUACUGGGAGAUUAUCCUUUUUAAUAGCAGACAACCAAUCCUGUUUAAGAGUUUUAACACAUUAAAAAGAAGGAGGAGGAGGAGGAGGAGGAGGAGGAGGAGGAGGAGGAGGAGGAGGAGGAGGAGGAGAAGAAGAAGAAGAAGAAGAAGAAGAAGAAGAAGAAGAAGAAGAAGAAGCUGAAUCCACUAAGAAUGGCAUUUGAAUUAAAACCAGAAAAGCAGGAAGAAUGUGCCUGCAUGCAACGACUUUCCCGAAUCUUCCAUAAUGGUGCUUGGAUACCACGCAAUUACAGUAUUCCAUGGGAGAUGGCUUUUGGAUCAAGCCCUUAAAAACGGCUUAUAAAUAUUUAAAGUAUAAGCAUCUAACAAAUCGUAAUGACAAAGUUUUACAUUUAACCACACGUGCUCCAAAUAUCUUGAAAUUACUCUAAAUAUAGGUUUAAAAUAUCAAAAGGGCUUGUUGAUGGCAUGUAGAACCUCGCAGGGAAACUUAAACCUGAUCAUUCUUGCUCACACAACACCCAAUUUACACAAUUUUUAAAGCAUGCGCGUAUAGAUUCCUUUAGAAAACGAUCCUGUUACAGUCUGAAUUUGUAAAGCAGGAAAGGAAGGAUAAAAAUACGGGGUUCUCCUUCUUCACCAGAUGCAGCCUAGCUGCUCGGCUUCUAGAUAGUUUGUUAUUGUGGGUUGUCUCAAGUGUAAGAUUGUAACAUUUUAGAAAUACUUGGAGAACAAGGCAGCUGCCAGGAGGCUAUCACAACACCCAUGCUAGAUGGGAACGCCAUUCAUUGUCAAGACAGUCUUUGGCUGGGGAAGGGAGCUGCACCAGGGAGAGAGACGGACUUUUGGACGUUAGGGCUAACUCCUACCAAAUGAGUUUCUAAGCGUCUUUUCACCUUUGAUUCUUUAAACACCAGCAAUCACCUCUUUGCUUUCUGCUUUACCCAAAGCAAAGCACAGCUUGUCAUCGGAGGUUUGAAGGGACAAUGUUGAGACAACAGUGGGUACAGCCAAGUUUGGAUUUGUCAUAGUCCUGAUCCGGGGCUGCACGAAUGCUGUUCGGCUCUCAGGCUUACCUCCUCGCACAGGGCUGCACGCUUGGGCAACUCGAGAAUAACUAGGUGGACACUCAGAAACUAUUGAGAACACUAGCUGUUAAUCCCAACGUUUGUCUUGUAGUUUGAUUUUGCUCUAAUCAUCUUAAAUAGCGUUUUCUAAAUGGACCUUAAAAUAAUCUGUGUUGGGGCUGGAGAGAUGACUCCAUGGUCAAGAGCACUGGCUGCUCUUCCAGAGGACUGGUGUCCAGUUCCCAGCACACACAUGGCAGCUCACAACCACCUGUAACUCCAGUCCCAAGGGAAUUUGAUGCUGCCUUCUGGCAUCCACGGGCACUUACACACAUGUGGUGCACAGACAUACAUGCAGGCAAAACAUCUUUACACAUAAAAACACAUUUCUAGCCGGGCGGUGAUAGCUCAUGCCUUUAAUCCCAGCAGAGGCAGAUGGAUUUCUGUGAGUUAGAGGCCAGCCUGGUCUACAGAGCUAGUUCCAGGACAUCCAGGGCUACACAGAGAAACUCUCUGUCAGAAAAAAGAAAAAAAGAAAGAAAGAGAGAGAGAAAGUAAGGAGGGAGGGAGGGAGAGAGGAAGAGAGAGAGAGAGAGAGAGAGAGAGAGAGAGAGAGAAAGGAAAAAGAAAAAAGAAAAAAUUUCUAAAAAUUUGAAAAUAUCUUGUUCCCACCCCGCUGCUGGCCAUGAAUUCUCAAUUCUGAGUUCACUCUUCCCUCCUUUUCUCAGAUCGGUGCUGUCUGAAGAAGAGUACCACCUGCUCAGUAUUUAGAGCUGCCAUUUGACUGGCCCCAUUACACACAGCCCAUACCGAACUGUUUCUCUCUCUGUCUGAAUGAACUGCCCUUAUGCCUUUUGAAUCACCUAAAAUAAUUUACACACACACAAACGCACCUCCUUAGCAUCCACCCGGGGGUGAAAUGCACUAAUGUGGGAACUGGAGGAGGCAGAGAAUGCCAUCCAGGACAUGGUGCAGGAAAGUGAACAGCCUUCCCAUCCCUGGCAGGAUCUCCAGAGAGGGGAGUCUGGAGAGAGGAGGGUGUUGGCUUUGUGACGUUAGGUCCAUGGCAAAAAUUGCCAAAAACGAAUUCUCGUUUUUAACUGGAUAAUUAACUCAGCUUUCUUGGAGCGACAAGAAAACCUCUAGUUCCAGAUAUUGUUUACUAACAAGGCAAGAUAAUCCUCUGCCACUUGGGCUAGAAGAUCUCGGGAGUGGGCACUUAAAGGAUGGAGGGAGUGGGUCCUUCUUGCAAGGCUAUGCAUCAGCUGUUUCUCUUGCUGGAUUCAGUCUAGCACUGCUCCAGUGACAGGCUGCAGCCCAAAGCACUAGGUGCCUGCUCAUACAUGUUAUCCCCAUAUUCCAGCAGCGCCUCACUACACAGUGUCGAUCCUUCCUCUUCAAAACCCUGGUACUGAGGGUGCAGGCGGCCGGAGUUCAUUGAAUAAAGUAUUUUUGUGCCUCAUCUUGCCACUGUGAUUUCCAAAGGCUGAAGCCAGCUCUCCUAAUUGCUCACUAGUUCUAGGUGCAUACGAAUCAACCUGGCGGCUCUCUGUCAAACUUCCAUGUAGCUUUACAGUUUUUUUCAGGUCCCACCUGGCCUUGUGGUCCUGCAGCCCCUUAUAAAAAUAAUCAUUUAGAGGCUUAGUAUUAAUUGCAAAUUAUAUGGCCUAUGGCUCAGGCUUCUUACUAGCUAGCUCUUUCAUCCUAAAUUAACCCAUUUCUAUUAAUCUAUGUUUUGCCACAUGGCCGUGGCGUUACCAGUCUGCUGGCAUCUUGCUUCUUUCUCCUUUUGCGGUGGCUGGCGUCUCUCACUCCUCUCUUUCUUCUCUCCGUAUAUUUCCCACUUGCCUCUAAGCUCCCUUGCCAUAGGCCAAUGCAGCUUUAUUUAUCAACCAAUCAGAGCAACACACACUCACGGCAUACUGAAAGACAUCCUACAGCACUUCCAUCUAGAACCACGCAGCCAAGCACUCAUUUGGAGAGAGGAUAACCUUGAACUCAAGGACUGUCACCCAGGGAAUACGUCUAGUCAUGAAAUACUGAAGAUGCCCCAUUUCCUCUCCUUGCGCUGUUGUUCUUUUCUUUAAACGUGGGCACCCCUUAUUUUGACUUUCUUUCUCACUUCCUCCCAGAGACUCUGUCCUCUUGGAUUCCUGUUCUUUUGGAUUUCUCAGUAUGAGAAACAAAACCUGCAACCAGCACUUCCCACCCUUUGGCUUCCCCUGUGCUUUGAAACAGUGAUUUGGGGGCCCUAGCACAAUGAUCAGACUAAGCUCCGAGAAGCCCAGAUCACAUGACUCUCCUCAAGCUUUCUCCAGAUGCAAAGUGGAGCCUCCACCACCGAGCAGGGAGGAGUAUUUCUAGAAACGUGUAAGAGACUAGAGAGCCAUGGGGGUGGGGCAUCGCCCCAGCCCUUUAUUUAUUUAUUUAUUUAUUUAUUUAGCUUUAACUUGUUUCCAAAGUGUGUUCAUUAUUACGGCACAAAACUACGAUGGUUCUUCUGCUCCAGGAGAACAUAAAGAAUGGGAGUGAAAGGGUUAUUCCUGGUCUUCAUUUUUUCCAUUGAUUAUUUUGUUUAAAAAUAUGUUAUUUCCUUGGAAAAUGGAGGAAUGGGGAUAUUUUCUUAGAAUAUCUUCAAAAAUUUACACAUGGUUACUCUGAACUCCCCGAUGUACCAUAAACAAGUAUAAACUGUAGGAAUUUGGAAAACGUAAGAGUACAAACAGCUAUCCACCAAGCUUCCAGACAAAAACAAAGAAGGGACUAUUCCAUUUAUAAAUGGAAUUCUUUGUGGAUACAAUAGUUUGAACAGUGUUUAUACAUUGUUUUCCUUAUUAUUUGGAGGAUUUUUUUUCCCCUAGCUACCGAAGCUGCAGGACUGGUAUCCAGAUCUAUAAACAGUAGAGAUAAAAGGGAGUUUACAACCUUUUAAAAAUCUUCAGCUAAACUUAAUCAGUUCUGCAUCUGGGAGAAACAUCUGCCUGUUGAGAUCAUUUGUAGCCAUCUGAACAGACAAGAAUGAAUGGAGUCAGGAAAGCAGGAACAGAAUAAUUUCAAGAUGGGAGAGGGAGGCUGCAAUUUGCAAAAAAUCUAACAAAUGUGUAGCGUUCUUUGAAGGCAAAUGUAGCCGGCUUGCUGGUUUCAGAACAUGCUCUUUAAAAUCGCGGUCUGGUAGGAGAAAGGUGGACCUGGUGAAAAGAAUGAAGAGCACUGUGCAGAUGGUGCCAUUUGCUUAACCUUGAGAGGACUGAUUUAGCUACAGCGGGUGUCCAGCAAGACCCUGGGAUCCUCCCGUCUCUGUCUCCCACUGCGGCAUUACAGGUUAGUAUCAUGGCGCUUCACUUUUUACAUGGUGCUGGGGACCCUUGUGCUUGGGUGACAAGCACUUCACCCACUGAGGCAUCUCCCCAGCCCUUUAUUUAUUUAUUUAUUUAUUUAUUUAUUUAUUUAUUUAUUUAUUUAUUUAUUCAUUUAUUCAUUUAUUCAUUUAUUCAUUUAUUCAUUUAUUCAUUUAGCUUUAACUUGUUUCCAAAGUGUGUUCAUUAUUAUGGCACAAAAGCUACUCUGUCCUUAGCUAAUAGAUGUAUUUCCAAUUUCCCCAACCACGUGAACAAACUGAGUUCUUGGAGGUGUAGAGCAAAACCAGCAGCUCCUGUGUCUAGGAAAUCAGAAAGGCUGGGUGUGGGUGAAUUAUAGCAGACGGAAGCUGGGCUGCGAGGUCCCGUGGGACCAAAGAGUGACCAAUGGGAGGGAUGCUGACUCCCUGGAGACAUGGUCCCCUCCUUAAAUCUUUUCCUUUGCCUCCUCUCUGCAGCCCAUGGAACCUAUUUCUGACUUUCAAAAAGAGCUGUAACUUCUUGGGGGACCCAUCCUAAAAAGGAUUCUCCUGUCGCAAGUGUUAAGAGGCAAUUUGGUCACACCGUCUUCUAGAAUUGGCUAAGGCUAAGUUAACAUUUUUUAGUAGUGAUGCUGGUCUACAAACAAGACCCUCACCUGAUUACUCAUUCAGAAACGUAGAUCACCCAGUCAUUCAUACAGCUGUGCUUUUAACGAUCUGUUGGUCUUUAGCUAGCUUAUAUGACUGUCCUCCUGUCCUGGUCACUUCUCACCACAGUAAUGGCAGUGACCUCUUUCACCCCCCACAUCCUUCCCUUAACACCUUGAAUGUGUGUAAAUGACGUCUCCCAGUGCUUUCUAGAGGUGCUUUCUUUGUUUGUUUGGCUCUUUCUGUCACAUCAACCCUUCACUGGAAGCAAUGUCAAGCAGGUUAAAUUAUCUGGGGCCUUUUCAGUUGAGGUUCCUAUGAGAAAGGCCACCUGUCUUCAGCCUGCAGGAAUUGUAGCGCUAAUUGGGAAGGAAUGGUGACGUCACUUCUGGUGUUCUGCCCCCACUGGCAAAGCCACCCGUAGAAAAGGAGCCCUCAGACCAUGGUGGCCAAGAGAAGAUGCUCACGCUAGGCAACAUGCCUUCUGCUCUGGUUCAGGGCUUCCACUCAAGCCUCUGGCUGGAAGUGAGGUCCCCCACCAUGAAGCAGCAGGUUGGUGGCCUAGAAUUGUGUCUGUGGCUGGAAAAGCAAGGAUGAAAAACUGGGGAAGCUGGUAAGUAGAGGCUUGUCAUGUUUCAUGAACUCUGCUCCCAGGUAAUAAGGGAAUUUUUGUAAAUACAGUGAUGGAAGAACUCGUUAGCUGAUUCUCUCACUGUGACUUAAAGGAAAUUUAGCUUUGGAGUUCACAGCUUGGAUUUGAAUCACAACUCUGCUCACAGGUUAGGUAGUCUUGGUCAAGUUCCCCAAUCCUGUUUCUCCACUAGGAGAAUGAAGAUAAUUGUUCUAUGUAUCUGUUUCUCCACUAGGAGAAUGAAGAUAAUUGUUCUGUGUAUCUGUUUCUCCACCAGGAUAAUGAAUAUAAUUGUUCUAUGUAUCUCUGUUUCUCCACCAAGAGAAUGAAGAGAAUUGUUUUAUGGAUCUAGCUACAAAGAAAUACCAGUGGAAAAACACUCAGAAGAGCCUGUGCACGCCAGUGUGGAGAAUACUCUUCUUGCCUCCCCUACUCCAGGACCCCUUCCUGCCUGGGUUACAUCCCUCACAACAGGACAGUACCUGCCUUGAGGCAGCUCAGUGGAACAAUCUUCUGUGUGUCCCCAGCCCCAAGGGGGAGCAGUUAAGUGCUGGAGGAAUGCCCAUUUCUCUUUUCCUUUCUAUAAAUGGUUAAUAAACAACUGAAGAUUUG